GACGAACGCUGGCGGCGUGCUUAACACAUGCAAGUCGAACGGAAAGGCCCUGCUUUUGUGGGGUGCUCGAGUGGCGAACGGGUGAGUAACACGUGAGUAACCUGCCCUUGACUUUGGGAUAACUUCAGGAAACUGGGGCUAAUACCGGAUAGGAGCUCCUGCUGCAUGGGGGGGGUUGGAAAGUUUCGGCGGUUGGGGAUGGACUCGCGGCUUAUCAGCUUGUUGGUGGGGUAGUGGCUUACGAAGGCUUUGACGGGUGGCCGGCCUGAGAGGGUGACCGGCCCCCUUGGGACUGCGAGACGGCCCAGACGCCUACGGGCGGCAGCAGUGGGGAGUAUUGCACAAUGGGCGGAAGCCUGAUGCAGCAACGCCGCGUGCGGGAUGACGGCCUUCGGGUUGUAAACCGCUUUCGCCUGUGAUGAAGCGUGAGUGACGGUAAUGGGUAAAGAAGCAACGGCUAACUACGUG
rnacentral:rRNA from 1 species